AUGUGCUUUUCACUCUUGCAUGGAGGAGGUACUCUUGAGUUAGUGUGGCUUCCCGCUGCCUCUCACCCUUCCCCCACCCCACCACCCCGGCCACGAGGCUACCGGACCCCCACCAAGGUUCGAGAACUUAUCUUGGACAACUGCAAGUCAAAUGAUGGAAAAAUUGAGGGUUUAAUAGUGGAAUUUUUGAACUUAGAGUUCCUCAGUUUAAUAAAUGUAAGCUUCAUUUUCCACUCUGUCUCAAAAAAAAAAAAAAAAAAUCUCCCCAAGCUAUCUAAAUUGAAAAAGCUUGAGCUCAGUGACAAUAGAAUCUUUGGAGGUCUGGACAUGUUAGCAGAAAAACUCCCUAAUCUCACAAAUCUAAAAUUGAGUGGAAAUAAACUGAAAGAUAACAGCACCUUGGAAACUAUGAAAAAGUUGAAGUGUCUAAAAAGCCUGGACCUCUUUAAGUGUGAGGUUACUAACCUGAAUGACUACUGAGAGAGUGUCUUCAAGCUCCUGCCCCAGCUGACCUACCUGGAUGGCUAUGAUCGAGAGGACCGGGAAGCCCCUGACUCAGAUGCUGAGGUGGCUGGUGUGGAUAAAGAGGAGGCGGAUGGUGAAGAAGAAGAGGAUGAAGAUGAAGACAAAGCUCUAGAAGGGGAAGAAGACAAAGAUGAAGUCAGUGGAGAGGAAGAAGUUGGACAUGAUGGAGAAGUUGAUAAAGAUGAAGAUGAGGAUGAAGAGGAGGAGGAAAGCAGGAAGGGUGAAAAGAGAGAAACAGAUGAUGAAGGAGAAGAUGAUUAA